CAGAUCUGCCAACCAGGCACGGUGGGUAACAGGUAACUGUGUUUCCACCAAGCUGUUCCAGGCCUGGAGUGGCACGCUGGAGCUUCCAGAGGCUUGUAGACCUGAAGCAGUGUGCUGUGAUCUGUUAGCGCAACCACAGUCCUCACAGCUGCAGUCGUCUGACCCUGCACCUGCUACACCGGCCACGACAGAUGAUAUAGAUCUGCCACCCCCAGCAGUUCAGCUGCAGUCACAGUAGUCCUCUGCUGUGGUAUUUCAUUUACCGGCUGCACCAGUUCUUACUACACUGGCUGCGAAGGGAGAAACUUUUGAGGAUUCCCAGAUGGAUACAGAUCUGCCAUGCACUCCACCACUGCCCCUGAUAGCCUCACCCAGAAGUGCAUACACCGGGUCUAUCACGAUUGAUAAAGCAGAGAUAGGUGGCUGACAAG